GGUGCUUAAUCGCCCGGCUCCAGCCGGUCAGGUCUACCAGGCCUGGGGACGGCAGGCUGGGGACACUCAGGCAGCCGUUCCGGUCAGUCUGGGCAUCAC
rnacentral:tRNA from 1 species